AUUGAACGCUGGCGGCAUGCCUUACACAUGCAAGUCGAACGGUAACAGGUUAAGCUGACGAGUGGCGAACGGGUGAGUAAUAUAUCGGAACGUGCCCAAUCGUGGGGGAUAACGCAGCGAAAGUUGUGCUAAUACCGCAUAAGAUCUACGGAUGAAAGCGGGGGAUCGCAAGACCUCGCGCGAGUGGAGCGGCCGAUAUCAGAUUAGCUAGUUGGUGGGGUAAAGGCCCACCAAGGCGACGAUCUGUAGCUGGUCUGAGAGGACGACCAGCCACACUGGGACUGAGACACGGCCCAGACUCCUACGGGAGGCAGCAGUGAGGAAUAUUGGGCAAUGGGCGCAAGCCUGACCCAGCAACGCCGCGUGGAGGAAGACGGCCUUCGGUUGUAAACGUACCUUUACGGGUAAAGAGGAAGGACGGUACCCGACGAAUAAGUACACGGCUAACUACGUAGCCAGCAGCCGCGGUAA
rnacentral:rRNA from 1 species